rnacentral:rRNA from 1 species
CCUACGGGAGACUGCAGUGAGGAAUAUUGGUCAAUGGGCGAGAGCCUGAACCAGCCAAGUCGCGUGAGGGAGUACUGCCCUAUGGGUUGUAAACCUCUUUUGUCGGGGAGCAAAAGCCGGACGUGUCCGGCUGUGAGAGUACCCGGAGAAAAAGCAUCGGCUAACUCCGUGACAGCAGCCGCUGUAAUACGGAGGAUGCGAGCGUUAUCCGUAAUUAUUGGGUUAAAGGGGUCGUCAGUCGGAUUUUUAAGUCAGCGGUAAAAUCGUGGGGCUCAACCCCAUCCAGCCGUUGAAACUGGGGAUCUAGAGUAUGCGAGAGGUAUGCGGAAUGCGUGGUGUAGCGGUGAAAUGCAUAGAUAUCACGCAGAACCCCGAUGGCGAAGGCAGCAUACCGGUGAACAACUGACGCUCAGGCACGAAAGCGUGGGUAUCGAACAGGAUUAGAUACCCUAGUAGUC